rnacentral:rRNA from 1 species
CGUGCAGCCGGGAAUGCAAGUCAGAUGUGAAAUCCAUGGGCUUAACCCAUGAACUGCAUUUGAAACUGUAUUUCUUGAGUACUGGAGAGGCAAUCGGAAUUCCUAGUGUAGCGGUGAAAUGCGUAGAUAUUAGGAGGAACACCAGUGGCGAAGGCGGAUUGCUGGACAGCAACUGACGAUGAGGCGCGAAAGUGUGGGGAGCAAACA